rnacentral:rRNA from 1 species
AUAAUGGGUCAGCGACUUAUAUUCUGUAGCAAGGUUAACCGAAUAGGGGAGCCGAAGGGAAACCGAGUCUUAACUGGGCGUUAAGUUGCAGGGUAUAGACCCGAAACCCGGUGAUCUAGCCAUGGGCAGGUUGAAGGUUGGGUAACACUAACUGGAGGACCGAACCGACUAAUGUUGAAAAAUUAGCGGAUGACUUGUGGCUGGGGGUGAAAGGCCAAUCAAACCGGGAGAUAGCUGGUUCUCCCCGAAAGCUAUUUAGGUAGCGCCUCGUGAAUUCAUCUCCGGGGGUAGAGCACUGUUUCGGCAAGGGGGUCAUCCCGACUUACCAACCCGAUGCAAACUGCGAAUACCGGAGAAUGUUAUCACGGGAGACACACGGCGGGUGCUAACGUCCGUCGUGAAGAGGGAAACAACCCAGACCGCCAGCUAAGGUCCCAAAGUCAUGGUUAAGUGGGAAACGAUGUGGGAAGGCCCAGACAGCCAGGAUGUUGGCUUAGAAGCAGCCAUCAUUUAAAGAAAGCGUAAUAGCUCACUGGUCGAGUCGGCCUGCGCGGAAGAUGUAACGGGGCUAAACCAUGCACCGAAGCUGCGGCAGCGACGCUGAUGCGUUGUUGGGUAGGGGAGCGUUCUGUAAGCCUGCGAAGGUGUGCUGUGAGGCAUGCUGGAGGUAUCAGAAGUGCGAAUGCUGACAUAAGUAACGAUAAAGCGGGUGAAAAGCCCGCUCGCCGGAAGACCAAGGGUUCCUGUCCAACGUUAAUCGGGGCAGGGUGAGUCGACCCCUAAGGCG